UACGUAGGGUGCGAGCGUUGUCCGGAAUUAUUGGGCGUAAAGAGCUCGUAGGCGGUGUGUCACGUCGGCCGUGAAAACCUGCAGCUUAACUGUGGGCGUGCGGUCGAUACGGGCAUCACUGGAGUUCGGCAGGGGAGACUGGAAUUCCUGGUGUAGCGGUGAAAUGCGCAGAUAUCGGGAGGAACACCGGUGGCGAAGGCGGUUCUCUGGGCCUUACCUUGACGCUGAGGAGCGAAAGCGUGGGGAGCGAACAGG
rnacentral:rRNA from 1 species